UGUCAGGGGUCGUGGAGUGUGGAGCUUGCGAACCCCGCCAGGACCGGAAGGUAGCAACGGCAGCAUGCCUUCACUCGGCUGCGGUCCCCUGGCAGCA
rnacentral:SRP_RNA from 1 species